rnacentral:lncRNA from 1 species
UUGUAAAGCUAUCCCCAAGCGCAGCCUUCUUCAUUUCAUUUCCCCUCACCCUCACGUAUUCCCCCUCCCCUCCAUUUUCCUUGCUGCAUAUCCACCACCUGGUUCCCCCACGAUCACCCUCCUUCUAUCACGCCAACUCCACACCAACUUCAACAACCGCUAGCCUCCCAUCUCCAAUGACCAGUAACGCCAACACCACCCCAACACCAGUUUCACCGCUAACGCACCAACAACUCUGCCCAUCUCCGCCCACAACUUCAUCCGCCCACCCCCACCACACGCUACCAGUAGCGCACCACCCACCAGAAGCCCCAACUUCAGCUCAGCUCACCCCCAACCGUCUAGCGACUGUAGCUCCACAGGUCAACCUGCCACAGAACCAAACCAGCUUUGGCCGUGAGCCCCCUUACGGAUUUCAGCCACUGUUUGAGCUCCAUUGGAGACACGGUUGUUCUGGGCCUUCACCGCCAUCGCCGUGAGCCCGCCGCCAUCAAAUUUCGGUGAGUUAAUUCCCUAAUCCUUGAUUAGGUUGUUAAUUGCGCUUAAGGGGUUAGAUUAGUGCUAAUUAGCUUAGUUAAAUUAGUAUUGAGUGAUAUUAACCUUAAGAUGGAUUAGUCUUAAUCUAUUUUGGUUAGAUUAGCCUUAAGAUGUAUUAAUAUUGAUCUAGUUGGUUGGAUUAGUUCUAAUGAGGGUGAUUUAGUUUGGUUUAGUGGAUUUCUCCCAGAUCAGUUUGCUGGAUGCUCACCGCUUGCCAUUUUUGUGAGGAAAAAGUGCUACGAUUUUGAGGUUGUUUCCUUCUUGAAAAAUGUUCUAGACAACUUCAGCUAUGACAUAUAUUUUACUCCAUAUUUUAGGGAUUUAAAAGAAUGAGAUUUCAGUUUCGUUAUUUGCAAAACAAAAUCUCGAAUUAUGCUGGAAACAGUGACCUUGUGGUGUUCAAAUGAUUUUUAUCAACUCUUAAGGUUCGAUUUUUGAAAGAGUUUCUUCAUAAAAGUUGUUCAUUACAUCUUGUAAUUUAAUAUAGUUAAAUUUCAGAUCAAACAAACAAGUUUUGGAUUUCGAACUAAACUGAUUUUGGAAAACAUAAUUUCUAGACAAGGACAUAGUUUUUGUAACAGUUUGAGAGAUUUACUACUCUCAUUCUAGAAGAAUCUGGGUUAUGGUGUCUCAUAAAAAGUGUUUGAUUAAGUGUCCUUUAGAACAUAUUAAAAUUUGAGAAUUUUCUGAGCUUGUUUGAUUAUGUUUAUGAAAUUAAACUUGGAGGCGCACCCGGUUUCUGCCGAUUAAGAUCAGUAGUGAUUUUGUGAUUGUUCUUAAUGUUGUGCUUGCUGGACAAUGCAUAUUUGGUGGUGUGGUUGACUUUUGGCAUGCUUAGAACUUAUGUGUGAUGAUAUGUGAAUGGUAGUUCUACGGUGGUUGUUUAUUGUUAUUGCAAAAAAAUGACCUUAUGAGUUUUUAAUUAGAAAAACAAUGAGGUGUCGGGUUGGAUACCAAAACUUAUUUGCUCAAUAAAACAAUGAGAUUUUAAAUUAGGCACGUGCAAAUUUUGACAGAUUAAUUUUGAGUACAUGAGCAUCUAUGAAUUUAUUUCUAAAAGUUUUGAACAAAAAAGGCGGGGUUACUAAAGAUUGUUUUUAAAAGGGAUGGUUGGGCAAGAAAAUGGAAAAAUAAAUGAGGUGUCGGUUGGACACGAGGUUUUAUGUGGUCAAUAAAAUGAGGAGGUUUUAUACUAGAUGCGUGCAAAGUUUGACGGGUAAAUUUCAAAUACGUUACCCCGUACGAAUUUAUUUCGAAAAGUUUGAACAAAAAAAAAUGGGUUGCUAAGUUGAUUUUUUUAAAAAGGGGUUUUGGUGUUCAUGGCUACAUAAUGGAGGAUAAAGUUGACUUGAUUGAUGAUAUGCCUGCAUGGUUAAGUUAAUUAAGUAGUUCAGUUUACUUAAAUGUGAUUUAUUUAAUUGAUCGCAAUUAGCGUAAUUAGUGACGGAUUAGCCGUUUCGUGAAAUUAUGUGCUGAUUCUCUUGGUUGAAUUUAUAUGUGAAAUUGAUUGAUUAUAAGUGCAAUUGAGUGCUUGGUGGUGAUUUUUGAAUAUUAUUACAAAACCUGAUUUUAUGGUAUUUAAAUAGAAAAACAUCGAGUGUCAGUUUUUGACGCCAAAAUUUUAGAUACUAUAUAAAAUCAUGGAGUUUUGAACUAGGAGUGUACCAAAUUUGAUGGUUCAAUUUAAAUGCGUGAUCACACGCGAUUAUUUUACUAGGAUGAUUUUUAAUACGAAUAAAAGUGGCCAAGUUCAUUAUUCGAAAUUGAGGCAUUUGAGUGCAAAGCACGAUGUUCUUGGCUGAGUAUGGAUGUGCAUGUGGUCACUAUCAAAACCCAUCCUGAUGUGUAUGAAUACGCAGGGCGAUACUUGAUUAAGUUUGGAUGCCCCAAAUCAAUGGAUGCCGGUCUCAGUAAGGGCUGGGCUGAUGCUCUUGUGUGGAAUGCCGUCUUGAUGCGUAUGAAUACAUGGGAUGAUGUCGUGCUCGAUGGAAUGGGACGACGCCUGGUUAUGCCGAAUGACCGCCAACUGUCGAGUUGGCCGUGGUCAUUGGAUCGUAAUAACUAGAACAUGCAUGAAUGGUUGUGAUAAUUGUGCCUAAUUAUGGGACAAAAUUGUGUAACACGGUAUGGACGUGUCAUAAUGGUUCAGUCUUAUAAUUGGGACCCAUGUAAUUGAAAUGAUGUGUUCCGGUUAUUAAACUGUGCUUGCUGCACUGAUGAUGGUAUAUAUGUUGAGCUAACGUGCAGGUACGUGCCGAGGCGAGCUAAGAUCUGUAUGGUGUUUGCUUAGGACCACCUUCGAGGUGAAUUUGCGUCCUAAUCAAGGUUUAGGGUUUUGACUCACUCAGAUUUUUAUCUCAUCUCGUCGUGGGCUAACCUUUUUCAAGGCCGUAGCGUGGUGAUCUGAUGAGUUCGGAUGUGGUGGGUGUGAGAUGCGACACCUUGUGGCUGGCCCUGCCGUUAGCGAAGUUUAAGGUGAUCAUGAUCCUUGAGGUCUUUUAAGAGAGUCAAGAGGAAGUAGCCGCUGAAGGGCUUGUAAUUAUUAGACUUCCUUGGGUCAACAGUUGGUAAGGAAAUUGUUAGGUUUG